AAAGACCUGUAAGACUUUCUCCUACAUCAU
rnacentral:tRNA from 2 species